rnacentral:rRNA from 1 species
UAGCUCACUGGUCGAGUCGGCCUGCGCGGAAGAUGUAACGGGGCUAAACCAUGCACCGAAGCUGCGGCAGCGACGCUUAUGCGUUGUUGGGUAGGGGAGCGUUCUGUAAGCCUGUGAAGGUGUGCUGUGAGGCAUGCUGGAGGUAUCAGAAGUGCGAAUGCUGACAUAAGUAACGAUAAAGCGGGUGAAAAGCCCGCUCGCCGGAAGACCAAGGGUUCCUGUCCAACGUUAAUCGGGGCAGGGUGAGUCGACCCCUAAGGCGAGGCCGAAAGGCGUAGUCGAUGGGAAACAGGUUAAUAUUCCUGUACUUGGUGUUACUGCGAAGGGGGGACGGAGAAGGCUAUGUUGGCCGGGCGACGGUUGUCCCGGUUUAAGCGUGUAGGCUGGUUUUCCAGGCAAAUCCGGAAAAUCAAGGCUGAGGCGUGAUGACGAGGCACUACGGUGCUGAAGCAACAAAUGCCCUGCUUCCAGGAAAAGCCUCUAAGCAUCAGGUAACAUCAAAUCGUACCCCAAACCGACACAGGUGGUCAGGUAGAGAAUACCAAGGCGCUUGAGAGAACUCGGGUGAAGGAACUAGGCAAAAUGGUGCCGUAACUUCGGGAGAAGGCACGCUGAUAUGUAGGUGAAGUCCCUCGCGGAUGGAGCUGAAAUCAGUCGAAGAUACCAGCUGGCUGCAACUGUUUAUUAAAAACACAGCACUGUGCAAACACGAAAGUGGACGUAUACGGUGUGACGCCUGCCCGGUGCCGGAAGGUUAAUUGAUGGGGU